UACGGGGGGGGCAAGCGUUGUUCGGAAUUACUGGGCGUAAAGGGCUCGUAGGCGGCCAACUAAGUCAGACGUGAAAUCCCUCGGCUUAACCGGGGAACUGCGUCUGAUACUGGAUGGCUUGAGUUUGGGAGAGGGAUGCGGAAUUCCAGGUGUAGCGGUGAAAUGCGUAGAUAUCUGGAGGAACACCGGUGGCGAAGGCGGAGACCUGGGCCAAUACUGACGCUGAGGUGCGAAAGCGUGGGGAGCAAACAGG
rnacentral:rRNA from 1 species